UCUUGGUCAUUUUAGAGGAAGUAAAAGUCGUAACAAGGUUUCCGUAGGUGAACCUGCGGAAGGAUCAUUACCGAGUUGUCGACACGAGUUGUUGCUGGUCCUCAAACGGGGGCAUGUGCACGCUCUGUUCACACAUCCACUCACACCUGUGCACCCUCUGUAGUUCUACGGUAUGGUGGACAACACCGUCCUCCUCCUGUAGUUCUGCGUUUUUACACCUACACUGUAGCAAAGUCUUAUGGAAUGUGCGCCGCGUUUAACGCAAUGCAAUACAACUUUCAGCAACGGAUCUCUUGGCUCUCGCAUCGAUGAAGAACGCAGCGAAAUGCGAUAAGUAAUGUGAAUUGCAGAAUUCAGUGAAUCAUCGAAUCUUUGAACGCACCUUGCGCUCCUUGGCUAUUCCGAGGAGCAUGCCUGUUUGAGUAUCAUGAACACCUCAACUCUCACGGUUUGCCGUGAUGAGCUUGGACUUUGGAGGUUUUUGCUGGCCCAUGGUCAGCUCCUCUCAAAUGAAUUAGCUUGCCAGUUUUCGGUGGCGUCACAGGUGUGAUAACUAUCUACGCUCGUGGUCGUCCGCUGGGUAACCUUUCGGCGACGGAGGUUUGCUGGAGCUUAUAAAUGUCUCUCCUCAGCGAAGACA
rnacentral:rRNA from 1 species